rnacentral:rRNA from 1 species
AGUGAACGCUGGCGGUAUGCCUAACACAUGCCAGUAGAACGGCGGCACAAUAAGCUCUUGCUCUUACGGGUGGCGAGUGACGGGCGGGUGAGGCGUAGAUCGGCAUCUACUUUUUCGUGGGGGAUAACGUGGGACAAUAUACACUACUACAUCAUACGACCUGUGGGUGAAAACCGACGUAAUAGGUACCUUGCCAGCACUAAUAGGUCGAUCUCUGAUUUGUUAGUUGGGUGGGUAAGGGCCAACAAAGGCGAGGAACCGUAGCUGGCCUGAGAGGAUGGUCGGCCACACUGGAACUGAGACACGGUCAAGACUCCUACGGGAGGCAGCAGUGGGGAAUAUUGGACAAGGGGCGAAAGCCUGAUCCAGCCAGACCGCGUGGUGGAAGAAGGCCUUCGGGUGGUAAAGCCCGUUUGUUGGGAAAGAAAAGCAGCAGGGUAAUACCCUGCUGUUGUGACGGUACCCAAAGAAUAAGCGCCGGCUAACUUCGUG